GUCCAGUGACACAUCUGGCCUCCAGGUCCUUCCCAGCUCACGUCCUGCACGCUCUUGUGCCUUUCCAGCACGGGGCUUAAGCUCAGACUCCCCCAGGAAGGGAAGGACGUGCAUCCUGCCUGUCCUGUGCAUACAGUGUUCCUCUCCGUGGACUCUUUCCAAGGUGUUGGUCUCCAGAAUGCUCCUGGCUCUGCUCUUCUUGGAAGCAAUGGAGAGACAUCUGUCAGUGUGAGCCCGCAGAGGGAAGCUGAGGUCUGCUCGUGGCGCUAGGAUCCAGUAACUCUUCCUGUAAGAAUGUGUUGCUUGGAUGUGAAGAGAUGCUAUCGAUCUGACAAUGGAGGUUGCAGAUGAAGGAGAAAAGGUUGGAAUUAAGCCGACAGCACUCAGCUGCUGUAAGGGAACUGACUUCAUUUGACUGGCUCUGUCAUCCUCAGGAGGAAACUUUCCUCUACGAAAUGGUGAAAUAGUGCCUACGUGGAAACAUUCUGACUGUGCAUGGGCCUGGAGGUAAGCAGGGCCCAGGUAAGGACUGAUGGAUUUGUGACAUUUCUGACUUCUGGAACUGGCCAACGAAGGGCCAAGCAAGUGAUCAAUGAUCUGACUUCUCAUCGAAGCAAGUGAGUGGCAAUGGUAGCGAAGGAGCAAUGUCGUGCACACAUGAGGUUGGUUAAUCUCCCUUUGGACUUGAUGGGGCUGCUCUCACCAGUCCUGAUAGUUUGGCUUCAAAGGCUUUCUCGAGUAUUUGGGAGUGGCUGCAGCAUUGCUUCUGGUGUCAUGUACAUGGCUCAUCAGGUGUGGAGAUGAGGGUGGUGCAUAAGCUAGCCUUCCUGCUGGAGGUCACACAUUAAUGAGGAGCACAGGCACUGUCAGUCCAGUGUUUUCACUUUGAUCUUGAUCACCGUCAGCUAGUGGUGUCAGUAGGAGUAGUUAGAGAGAGAAUAAACACUUUCUUACCUAAAUAAGAGGCUCUUCUAUCUUUCAAGUGCCCGUUAUUUGGCUAAUUUAUCCCAAGUGAGGGUCAUUUGUUAACCACCUCUUGAAGAGUUUCUGAUAGAGCUGAAGAGAGGGCUGCAGUUCCUCUUCACUGCCAGCCACAGAGGCUGGGCUAGGAGUGCACCUAUCCACAGGGGUUGGUACCAGACACGGGUACCCAUCAUCUCUACAGUAGAUGCCAAUACAGAUCAGCAUCCUUAGGAUGCUGUUGCCCAUCUGGAGUGGCAACAAGCUGUGAGGAAUACCCUUGGACAGCCCAAACAGAAUGAGGUCCUCGUGCUUUGGCAACUGAAUACCACCCAUCUGUUUCUAAGGAGGGCUUUUGAAUUCAGAGUGCUGUGUGGAAGGGAGAGAGUUGAAAAUGGGGCAAAGAGUGAGCUAGUGAGACUCAGGAGCUGGGCAAUGAGAGCUGAUUCAGGAGAUGGUCAGCCCUGGAUUCUGGGGCUGGAGAAUCUGUCUCACUGAGGCAACAGAGACGUGAUCCUGCAGCAUCUACGCUGCUGUCUGCAGUUCCUGUCCCCCACCUUCAAGAAGCUUUAUUUUUCGUUCCAGAUGAGAAAGAAUAAUCCUUGGGGGUGGCUGUGAAGAGGAAUUGUCACCCUUCCUCCAGCUCUAUCUUCAAGAGGCAGUUAACAAAUAACCUUCCUUUGGGAUAAAUUAGCUCUGAAUCCCAGUUCAAUAGCUGCUCAUUUUAAGAUGUCCUUGUUACCUUGUGUGAGUGGCUGAUCUUCCUUUGAAUCCUGCUGUGUUUUCAGACCCCGUGAUUGCUACGAGCAAUCAUGAGCUCCACGUUAACAGCUCAUGCACUGAUUGCGCUGCGCAGUCCCAACACAACCCUUUGUGAAAAAGUUUCUGGAAGUUGAGCCUCUGCCUUCCGCCAUCAGAAAGCGACACGGUUCUCAUUCCAUCCCAAAUUCAGGCAACUGACUUCAAACGGAGACCGGGUUUGCAAGGCCUGGUGCGCGGACAAGAUCCGUGCUUCGGAGUCCAGCUUUAGAAAGAAAAUAUUUCAGACAUCGUCAAGGAAACCUGGUGAAGGCACUGAGUUGGCCAACUGUGCCUGCGGGCAGCCUGGAGCAAAGGCUCUGAGAUGUGCAAAUCGUAGAGCAAAUGGGUUUAUUUUUUUCUCCAGCCCGGCGUUGUUGCAGAGGAGGAGAGUGGCAUAGGAUGGCUCCAAAGAAAAGAGAAAGAAAACCUCCUGCCAUGUCAGCUUGCCCAGACCUUUCCGUGAGACAGCCUUCCCCAGCUACUUUAAGGGCUGCUUCUUGUGGACUGGAAGUAUUGCCAGAGAGUGAGUGAUCCUUAUUAAUGUGCAUCUCCAAAAACAACAGGCAGUCUUGCACAGAUCCUCUAACACGUAUCUUUGGAUUUUGAGACGUUUGAGAGCUAUUUAUUCCCUCUUACACCAAUAUCAGCCAUAGUGCAAGAUGUCUUGAGCUGAUUAAAAAUCUCUUUAAUCAAAUACUGGCAGGGGAAGUGUUCAAAACAUUAGAAGAAUGACUUUGACAAGCUGCCCCUGCACUGUGAGUGACUUCAUCCAGAGGUUGGCCCGGCAGGCUGGCAUGUGAUACACAGCCUCCACUCACCUUGCUUUCCAAAGCUGCCAACAAAGUGCAGUGAUGAUUCUGAGAGCCAGUAGGACACUGUAGCCCGUGUUUGGUUCUUUUCUGUGAGAUAGUGCCCCCAAAAAACCUUUGUUCCAGGCAAAAUCCAUCACUCCGUUCAUCAACCCCUACCUACGCUUCAAAUUCCUAUAUCCCAAAUCCAUGGGAACGAUUUUGAACAUGAAUGUAGGUUGGAAAUCAUUGCUGUGCAGAUUGUCUAGAGGCUUUUUUUUCCCCUGUUCUAUGGCUGAAGUGGACUUCAAAAGGAUAAAUAAAAUCCAUUCUGGAAGACCCCCCCCCUGCGAGGAGCGUACUUCUUUGGAGAGAGUGUAACAAGAAGCCUCCUGAUAUUUUAUUCAACCAGAAUGAAGUGUUUUGAUUUUGGGGAAUUCAGCUAAUUUUCUUACUCCUCAAAAUAGGUCAGCUUUGAAAUAGAAAAUGUCACGCUGAAACAAAAAAACGGAAUAGAUUUGUUUAGUAAAUGUAAGAUUAUAUGUACAUACUUUCAGAAUUUUAACAAGCUUAUGAAUGGAAAGAAAGCAUCCAGGUUAUUUCUUAUUCAAUUAGACUUGGAUUUGGGACCAGUUUUCACUCUCCAUAAACUGCUUUUCUAUUUCAUUUAGAAAAUCCCCUUCCUCCACAAAAGCCCCUUCCCCUAGCCGUUGCUGGAAAUAAAUAGCUAUAAUAUAGCUGGAAUUAAUACAGCUACACUGAAUCAACUAUGUGCUGAAUUGUUUUUCCUCAGUGCUCUCUGGGCACCCAGACCUGCUCAAUAGGAAGUGUUGGUACUUGGGGCAACAUAUAGAAAACCAGGGUGGAGGAAAUCUUGUGCCAGCAGCCCUCUUGUGUGGGUCUUUUCCAAGCUUUGACUCUAUUCCCUCAUUCCUCUCCAGAUGUCCUAAGCCACAUUUUACUUCCAUUAUGACAAAAAUCGUGCAAGAUACUUGUCUUCUUUUAUUUAUAUACAUAUAUUCUGUAGCAUUUCUGUGUUCCUACACCUUCUCUCCUUUUGGCAUCGCUUAUGGAUGUGUAAGUAGUGGGUUAGUUUCUAUUCUCACUCUGGGGGGUUGGGUUCCAAACUGUUUAUUGAGUAAUAAAAAGAGAAAAUUGCAAGUCGUUGCCCAGGGAUAAUGUGCUAAUAAUUUUAUGACUGGACAAAUGGUUGCAACAGCCCACAAAUGGUGGUAGGCAGGAAACCUGGUGUCUAUUGCUGACAGAGCCACCCCCGAGGAGAUAAAUCCCUACUUUGGGUGAUCAAAGUUGAUGCAACAACUGUGAUCUAUUAAAAAUUACUUUGGAGAUGGGUAAGGCAAUCAUUAUUCCUCUUAGAGGAGAAGUGGCAGAUAUACUUUUUGGGAAGUGUUUAGAAGUGAGCCCUGCAUGGAAUGAACGCAGACCACCGUGGCUGCUUGCGCUCGGAGCCACGCGGCAUACAGCUGCAGGGCUGCAGGCUGGGGGUGCUUGGAAAAACAGAGAUUAAAGGGGGUUAUUGCUAUCAGGCAAACACAAAUCAUCCCAGAGAUAACAAAGGGUUGAAGUUUCUUUCGACACUGACUGUGUGGCACUCGAGUUCAUUAGCCUGGCUUUACUGCUGCAGAGCAUGGGGCCGGAAUGGCUGCUGCAGGGCGUACAGCAGGAUACACCCUGUCCCAUUCUGGGCUGAUGUCCCCUGUCUGAUUUCUCAAGGAGGACGUCCCCCUCCUGGGGAUGGGGCAAUCGUCCUGUCUGCACCA